UACGUAGGAGGCAAGCGUUGUCCGGAAUUACUGGGUGUAAAGCGCGUGUAGGUGGCAGGCCAAGUCUGUUGUGAAAUCGCCCGGCUCAACUGGGCGCGGUCAAUGGAAACUGGUCAGCUGGAGGACGGUAGAGGCGAGUGGAAUUCCCGGUGUAGUGGUGAAAUGCGUAGAGAUCGGGAGGAACACCAGUGGCGAAGGCGGCUCGCUGGGCCGGUCCUGACACUGAGACGCGAAGGCGUGGGGAGCGAACGGG
rnacentral:rRNA from 1 species